UCUCUAUAUGCUCUGCCCUUUAUUUUCACUCCAACACGUCAACUUCAACAGCUUACACAUUUCCAGCACUAAUUCCCUCUUUCAUUCCCUUCCCUGUUUUCUUCUCUGUCUUUCUCCUGUUGCCAAUUUACUUUCUUUUUCAACAGAUAUACCCACCCUUCUUCUCCAAGUGGAACGUCUCCUUCACCCUAAAAUCUCUCUAAAUACAAAAUAAUUUAUCCUAUCCAUUUCAGCCAUCUCUUUAAAAAAUAAAAAAAAAAUUUCCUUUAUCUUUCUCUCAUUAUCUAUUCAAUCAGGCUCUGGCUAGCAAUGUAUGAUCCGUCUUUCAAAGAGAAGAUCAUAACAGAGCUGCACAAUUUGUGGUCAAGGAUGUCCAAUUAAUUGAGCCUAAGACAAAGACUGGCCAAGCAUCAAAAGAAACAAUUUAGUGCGAAGUAAAAGCACCCAAAAAGAAGCGCAAGUCAAGCCAAUUCUCAUUUUGUCUCUCUUAACUGCAUCGAGCAAUUUAUAACUAUCCAUUAAAUCAAAAUUUGACCUGGUGUUAAUCAAAGGUUUCCAAGGGAGCACGCCAUACGCUGUCUUUCGAUUUCAAUUACUCCCCUUCAACACUUAUCUUCCUUAUGGACAUACCAAGUUCACAACCUUUGGUAACCCAAACUUUGAUGAUGCUCUCGCCAACAAUGUAUGUUCUGUCCUUCAAACACAACAUCAUAACAAAACUACAAUCUUUGUAGUCAAUGAUGUCCAACUAUUUUCAGCAAAGAUUUUUAACUUCAACUAAUAUGUUGCUAUAAAUCUUUGCUUAAUCAAAUUAUUUCUUUUCCUACUUGCAUAACUAACAAAUCCGUUUACACUAAUUUUAGAAAUCCCAUAUUUUUUUUGCUCA